rnacentral:rRNA from 1 species
GUCUACGGCCAUGCUACCCUAAAAAAGCCCAAUCCUGUCUGAUCUCGGAAGCUAAGCAGGGUCGGGCCUGGUUAGUACUUGGAAGGGAGACCACCUAGGAAGACCAGGUGCUACAGGUG